UGUACACGCUGUGACUAGCAUAUCAAUAAGCGGAGGAAAAGAAACUAACAAGGAUUCCCCUAGUAACGGCGAGUGAAGCGGGAAGAGCUCAAAUUUGAAAUCUUAAAGGGUUUCCCUUUACGAAUUGUAGUUUAAAGAAGUGUUUUCUGUUGAGGUUUUGGUAAAAGUUCUUUGGAAUAGGACAUCAUAGAGGGUGAGAAUCCCGUAUUUGACCUUUACUUUCAACUUUGUGAUACACUUUCAAAGAGUCGGAUUGUUUGGGAAUGCAGUCCAAAAUGGGUGGUAAAUUUCAUCUAAAGCUAAAUAUUGGCGAGAGACCGAUAGCGAACAAGUACCGUGAGGGAAAGAUGAAAAGAACUUUGAAAAGAGAGUUAAACAGUACGAUGAAAUUGUCAAAAGGGAAGCGUUUGACACCAGUGUUGUUUUUCUGAAAAUCAAUUAAAGAACUGUUUCUGCUAAGUUGUUUAGACUUUAUCAGCUAACUGUUUAGUUUUGAGCUUUUCUUUAAUGCACUUUUCAGUUAACAAGUCAACAUCAAUUUCUUUUGCUGUAAAAAAGCUUGAGGAAGGUGGCUUGAGAUUCGUCUUAAGUGUUUAUAGCCUCUUGCCUAUGCAGUCGGAGAGAUUGAGGUCUGCAGCGUAGAUCCUUCGGGGCUAAAUGCAUUUGUGCUAAGUUAUAGCAUUUUAUAGACAACUUGUUGACUAUGAUUUGUCUUGUAGCUUACUCGCUUAUGUUAUUUUACCUACGCUUAGGAUGUUGAUCUACAGAGCGAGAGU
rnacentral:rRNA from 1 species